ensembl:lncRNA
GUAAGUGUAAUUAUGAGGACCCGGUUUUUCAUGAAUUCCCUUCUUGAAUGCCUCCUUGCAGCUGCAUAGCUUAGAAACUGAAAAAUUGGAGGAUGAGGAUUUGUGUUUCUACUAUGUUUAAUAAGCCAUAGGUUGAAAAGUAUCAACCCAAUUUUUUACAAGUGAUGACUUAUUCUGUAGGUAUGAACAUUUACUUUUAGGGAUGCUCCGAUCAAGUUAUUCAAUUAUAAAUAUAGCCUACAGUGUAUGUGCAGUGAUGUUGCUAGGUACGCGUCCUGCGUCCCUGACGCAUUAAAAUCUGAAAGGACGCACUAAACUCACUAUCCAUGCGUCCCGGGGACGCAUCUCAUUUUCCCCAUGAAAAACGAUACAUUGUGAACAUUAAACAACUCGUGUUUAAUCACAGUAACUGGCCAAAGAAACCUUCUUGUGAGCAGACCGGACAAGCGCUGUUUCAACCCGCUGCGCAUGUACUCGGCGCAGAUGUGAUCCCCUGUACAAGUGCCACCAUAUACUUACCAGCGCAUUUGUCAACGCUUUGGACCAUUGUGAAGCUUGCAAUGGACCUGUCUCCGCUCUAAGAUGGCUUGGUUACACAUGCAAAUUGUGUUCAAGGUCGUGGCACAAAUCCUGCUUUAUCAAGAUGAAUCCGUUGCAGGAUGUUGAUGAGCAUGUUUCCGACUCUGCAAGUAGUCACGGCACUUCCUCCGGUGAUCUCUUUCACAUUGACACUGAAUCAAGUUGUGAUGGAAAUAGUGAUAGUGAGGAUCCACAGUGGGUAAACCUACCACAUCGCAAGGGUGGACCAGUUAAAUCACUUUAUUCUCAGGAAAGGACAGAGAGUGCCACAACCUAUGUCCUGCAUGGAACAGGAAGACAAGGAUUCUUCCAAAUCUGUAAAAUUCGACAUUGAUGGUGACCACAUACCUGAUAGUGAACCCUGUUGUGAUGAUGAUCCUACAACAAGCAAUACCCAGACUCUUCUAUCAAGUACAAAAGAGGCUUCUUCUAAUGAGGCUGCAGUCGUGCCAGAAGUCUCUCCUUGCACUCAAAGAAAUUACUGCUAUGUUUGCAAAACACCUCAAUCUAAAAUAUCCUGUCAUCUUAAAAAACAUGAAAAAGGAGAGCUUGAUAUUGCUGAAGCAUUCUCGUUUCCUAAGAAAUCAAAAGAGAGAAAAAGACUACUUGAGAAGUUGCGGAACAGAGGUAAUUACGAACACAACCAGGAAGUUUUGAGGAAUCAUGAAGGACAACUGAAAUUAAGAAGAAGACCAUCACGAUCAAAAAUCUCUGUGACAACCCAAACGCAUGUGCACUGUGCAUAUUGUAAGGGCAUGUUCAUUCGUAAGGAGCUGUGGCGCCACUUGCGUAGAUGCCCAUCAAAGACGGUCUCCGAGAGUGAGGCUGUUGGGAAGAAUAGAGUCUUAGUUGUGGCUGAUAUCUCGGAGACAACAUUCUGCCAAGCAAUUUGCGCUGGACUGUGGAAAAUCCUUAGAAAUAUGAGGCAAGAUGAGAUUGCAUCUGUUGUACGAAAUGACUUCCUCAUUCUGCAACUGGGCCAGUCUCUCUUCAACAAGCAUGGGAGUGAUUCAACAAAGUUUGAGUAUAUCAGAGCCAAGGUCCGAGAAAUGGGCAGACUGUUGUUGACCUUAAGAAAGAAAUAUUCUAUAUUUAGCUUUGAAGAAGCUGUAAAGCCAAAUCAUUUUUACAAGAUCAUUGGAGCUGUCAGAGCAGUUGCAGGAUAUGAUGAAGAGAAACACUCCUAUUGCACACCAAGCCUUGCCCUGAAAUUGGGACACUCGCUCAAGAAGAUCGGUGACAUUAUUCUCUGCAGGGCCAUCGCAGCAGAGGAUGAAGAUUUGAUUAAAGCAGCAGAACGAUUCACACAACUCUGCACAAAACAGUGGGCAACACAGGUCUCCCACACUGCACUGGCUACUUUGAGCAAGGCAAAAUUUAACAAACCAUCCACCAUACCAUUCACAGAGGAUGUGCAGCUCUUGCACAAGUACCUGGAGGACAAAUCAGCAGACGCCAUUGAAAACCUAAAAGACCAUGAUUCUCCACAGGCGUAUGCUGAACUUGCUAGGGUGAC